UACGUAGGGUGCGAGCGUUAAUCGGAAUUACUGGGCGUAAAGCGUGCGCAGGCGGCGCGUUAAGACAGGUGUGAAAGCCCCGAGCUUAACUUGGAAUUGCGCUUGUGACUGGCGAGCUGGAGUGUGGCAGAGGGAGGUGGAAUUCCACGUGUAGCAGUGAAAUGCGUAGAGAUGUGGAGGAACACCGAUGGCGAAGGCAGCCUCCUGGGCCAGCACUGACGCUCAUGCACGAAAGCGUGGGGAGCAAACAGG
rnacentral:rRNA from 1 species